rnacentral:rRNA from 1 species
UACAGAGUGGCCAAGCGUUGUUCGGAUUCACUGGGCGUAAAGGGUGCGUAGGUGGUGAGGUAAGUCGGAUGUGAAAUCUCCGGGCUCAACCCGGAAAUGGCAUUGGAAACUACCUUGCUUGAGGGUUUGGGGGGGGGAUUGGAAUACUUGGUGUAGCAGUGAAAUGCGUAGAUAUCAAGUGGAACACCAGUGGCGAAGGCGAAUCCCUGGAAAAUACCUGACACUGAGGCACGAAAGCUAGGGGAGCAAACAGG